GCUCGGUGGAGCAAAGCGAGCGAACACCAGCUGACUAAAACUGAACUGUCAACUAUAGCAGGAGUCCUCUCUCUCUUUGCUGAGUACCAACCAGCUCGACACAGACACCCGGAAGGCACGAAAGUCAAUUUGAGAGGGCAGCAUGAAUCGCUUUAAGACCUCCAAAUUCAAAAACACCACACCGAGCAUUGCCAAGAAAGAUGGAUGGAUCAACAACGUCCAAGCUGGUUCCUUCUCCUCCCAGGGGAACCACAUCAAAGCCAGCUCCAAGUUUGUGGUUUUCAACACCGAGCAGGCCGGUGGAUGCAUGCUGGGCCUGUCCUCAGUCAAACCUGCUUCAGAUGGCCAAUGGACGCUCACCCAGAUCUCCUGCCAUUCAGAUCUGGUGACUGAUAUGGACUUCUCUCCUUUUGAUGAAAGUCUCUUGGUGACAUGCUCCAGUGAUGAAACGGUGAAGCUGUGGCGUUUGUGCGAUCCAGAGCUGCAGCAGCCCAGCAGUCCGGAGCUGACCCUGCAUCCGGGGCACGGCAGGCUGGAGCUGGUGCUUUUCCAUCCCACCUCCUCUGGCGUGCUGGCUGUCGGCACCAACAAGACGCCCCUGAUAUGGGACACCAGCCGCCAGGAUACGCCACUGGCAGUCCUGGAGCAGCACAGUGACCAGCUGCAGAGUCUGAGCUGGAAACAGGACGGUUCCCUGCUGGCCACCUCCUGCAAGGACAAGAUGCUGCGAGUGUUUGACCCCAGAGCCCAGCUGACACCAGUUCAGAGUGCCAAGAGCCUAGAGAACAACAAGGAUUCACGGAUCCUGUGGGUCAAAGACGACCGUUUAGUCACCGCCGGAUUUGACAUGAUGCGUAGUCGGGAGGUGAGGCUUUGGGACAGCAGGAAGUUGAGCUCCUCCGUCAGCUCAGUGUCACUCGGCACCUCCAGCGGGUCAGUGAUUCCUCUUUUCGAUGAAGAUACUGGUUUGCUGAUUCUGGCCGGCACGGGAGACUCUGUGGUCGAUUGCUUUGAAGUUUCUUCCUCAGAGCCGUUCCUCUCACACGUGAGCCACUGUCUGACAGACGCCUCAACACGAGGGGUUGCCAUGGUACCCAAGCUGGCAUUGGAUGUCAUGUCCUGUGAAGUGAUGCGCGUGCUUCAGCUGACAGACGGCUGCAUUGUGCCAAUCAGCUAUCAAGUCCCUCGCAAGCGUUCAGGCCAAGAGUUUCAUGACGAUCUUUACCCAGACACAGUGGGCACAACUCCAGCCAUGUCUGCUGAGGAGUGGUGGCAGGGAGGGAACAAGCAGGUGGAGAAAGUCAGCCUCCACCCGGACAAAAAGCCCAAACUGAAAGCUUCACCAACAAAACAGACGCCUGCCAAGAAGGAGCUGACCAGUGGUGGGAGCAAGGAGGAUCCAGCACGCGGCUUCUCCACCUCCAGCAGUCCUCUGAGCACUCCCAGCAGCAGCGCCGCCCCAUCCCGCUCUCCUUCCACCACCUCCGGCCUCUCCUCAGGCUUCCUCCCAAGUCCCAGUCCCAGUCAGAGUGCCAAGGCCAUCCAGAGCAUGCUAGGGCCGUCCUCCAAGUACCGUCACAUCCAGGGUGCAGUGAUGCAUCGGGACACGCACAUCACCAACGUGCAAGGCCUCAACCUGACCACACCAGGCGAGUGCGACGGCUUCUGCGUCAACGGUGAACGUGUGGCCGUACCACUCGCCAUCUCCGGGGGCCAGAUCGCUGUGUUCGAGCGCUCUCAGCCUGGUAAACUGCAAACCACGGCCCUGCCCACCAUCCAAAACUCUGUCAACGUAGUCGACCUCUCCUGGGACCCCUUCGACUCAUACCGGCUUGCUGUGGCUGGUGAUGAUGCAAAGAUCCGGGUGUGGCAGGUACCAGAGGGGGGGCUGACGGAGAUGCUGACUGAGCCCGACCUCAUUUUGCAAGGCCACACAGAGAAGAUUUACUCCAUCAAGUUCCACCCUCUGGCCAGCGGGCUCCUGGUGUCUUCAUCCUACGAUCUCACAGUCAGACUGUGGAACCUGGAGAGUGGCGAUCAGCUCGACAACCUCACCGGACACGAGGACCAGAUCUUUGGCAUGGCAUGGAGUCCGGAUGGAAAGCUCCUGGCCACAGUGUGCAAAGAUGGGAAAGUUCGCAUCUAUGACCCCCGCAAGUCCACUGCACCGGUGCAGGAGGGCCCGGGUCCCGAGGGCCACAGGGGAGCUCGUGUUGUGUGGGUGUGUGAGGGCAAGUACCUGUUGGUGUCAGGAUUUGACAGCCGCAGUGAGAGAGGACUCUACCUGUACUCCCCUGACUCCCUGUCGUCUGGAGCCUUAGCCACCACUUCUAUAGACGUCUCCCCCUCUAUACUCAUCCCUUUCUACGACCCCGACACCAGUGUUGUCAUCCUCAACGGAAAAGGUGAUACCAGAGUUCACAUUUAUGAAGUUGUCCCUGAAAGUCCGUACUUCAUGGAAUGCAGCAGCUUCAACUCUCCUGAGCCACAUAAGGGCUUGGGCUUUCUUCCCAAGACGGCGUGCAAUGUGCGUGAUGUGGAGAUCGCUGUAGGACUAAUGCUCACCAAAUCAACCAUAGAGCCCGUGGCCUUCAGGGUGCCACGUGUCAAGAAAGAGUUUUUCCAGGAUGACUUGUUCCCAGACACAGCCGUGUGUUGGGAGCCCGCUCUGUCUGCCUCCGCCUGGCUGUCAGGCAUCAACGGCAAACACAGGAAGAUGAGCCUCAAGCCUAAAGACAUGACGCCAGUGAGUGAGGCACCCAAAGAGGCUCCAGUCAGAAAAUACCUUCCCUCCUCUGUUUACCUGGAGGAGAAGACUGACGAGCAGAAGAAAGAGGAGCUGCUCAGUGCCAUGGUGGCUAAGCUGGGCAACAUGGACGACCCGCUGCCACAGGAAUCCUUUGAGGGGGUGGACGAGGACGAGUGGGAUGACUAAAGAGGACGCCUUCUUGCCUUUGGUUUCAUCUCUGUGCCAACAAGCAGACAACAAAUCAAACGUCAGGUUCCGCUAUCGUCUGUGUCAGUGAGGGUGCCAAUCAAAACAUCCUCUGCACGCACAAUGAAUACUGUAGGAUGUAAACGUAUAAAUGAUACUGGAGAAAACAAAUCACUAAAAGUGUAACACCUCUUGAUAUGGGUAUGUGUCAAAAAUAUCUGUUACGGUUUGGAAGUUGAAAUGUCCUGUUGUCUCGGUGGUGUUUAACUUUUAACGUGACUGCAUGAAAUUUAAUCUCGUAUUACUUAAUAACAGAAAUCAAUCUGGGAUUCAUUUAACGUUGUAGACUGCAAAAUUAUAUCACAAAAGUAUAAAUGUAUAAAUGUAGGAAAUAUGAACACAGUCAUGUAUUACAGGUAAAGCCUCUUUCAGGUGCAAGGUGAAUGAAACAGUCAUAGCAAUAAUACUUCUGGUUUAUGCUACAUCAGCAGUUACACUCACCUAAAGAAAUAAUGAAAUCUUAUCUUCUUUUUCUACUUCUAUAUGUGGAUGGUUGCCUUGGUGUAAGCAUGAUAAUACACUCCGAGGUGUUAAUGACUUCCACUUGCUGCCAAGUCUGUUUUUUUUUUUUAAUCUCAAGAUACCAGGUUGUCAACCACUGCAUACAAAGUUGUUAUCUGUGUGCACACUUACCUCCACAGUGGACCACUGCUUACUUUGUUUUUCUAUUUGCCAGUCAUAGGAGCACGCUUACUCACAAUGUGUCUUUAAAAGAUGUAACAUGGGGGGGACACUGCUAAUUUACUCAUUGAACACCAUGCAUCUGAAAAUAAAUGUCUUCCUGACACACACAAACACACACACACACACACACACACACACACACACACUCACACACACACACACACACACACACACACACACACACACACACACACACACACACACACACACACACACACACACACACACACACACACACACAAGCCUUUUACAGCAAAAACCACACUGAGGAUACAACAGGGUCACCAGUGUUCAUGUUUUUUGAUGAACUGGAAUUUCUUAUAACAAAAACAUGACGUUCUUUUCUUUGCUAGCCAAGGAUAUAAUACAAUCUAAUUUAACAUGAUUAUGUAUAACUGCUUUUGUACAAGUUGGAUUAAGGAAUGUUUUAUGAUUAAGUAGUCUAAUAGUAGUCUUACAUGUAAGGGAUAGAGGUAAAUGAGAUGUUUUUUUUGUUAUGCAUUAAAAGCCAAACCACCUCCUUCUUGGAGUUCUUAGAGGGGCCUUUGUACUUCACACCUGAUUGUUUCUUUUCUUUUCUUUUUUUUUUGGGGGGGGGGGGGGUGAAUUUAAACUUUGAAUAAUUAUCUUUGUUAGUUUACAGAUAUUUCUCACCUAAAUGAGCUAAUUUUUCUUACCUGAUAAUUACUAGUAAGUAAGUAACCAUGACUUUAGACUUUAGAAAAUCACAGUGCAGUAUUAAUAUCCUACAUCGCAGCCAUCAUGUAAUUUACAAUCAGGGUUUUUAGUGUUCUUGUCAAUAAUCCAGACUUGAAGUUAGUUUACAAUCUCUGACGUGAACCAUUGAGUCAGCCAUGUUUGCUUUUGCACAUCGGGUAGAACACAUGAACCACAGGUGUCGUCUGUGUUUUGUGAUGAAUACUGUAUUUGCUUGUGAAUCUUGAACACCAUUCUUUUGUAAUAUAUGGGACUGAUUAGCUCGUCUUCCAAUGUGUUAAAAAAAAAACCUCCCUUUUUAUACAGUGAAUAAAGCGUUUCUUUUUUUUCUGUCCUACAUGAGUAAUGGUUUGUGGAUUUUUCUCAGUAUUGUCUUUCAAUAAACAACUUUUGAAACCAUUU